UUUAGGUGAAUCGAUGUCUAGUGGUCGUAGCAACAAGAGGCGUGUAGCUGUGAUUGUAGUGGCACCACUGUUAGCAACGUUUCUCUUAGCUGCCGCUGUGAUUCUCCUUUGGAGAAGAAGGAAGACGAGAAACAACAAGAUGAAGAAUCAUGCUGACAAAGAAGAAACAGUGGAAGAGGAAAACUUUGGCAUACCUCUGUUUGAUUUGGGUAGGAUUGCAGAGGCCGUCGGAGACUUUUUCUUUGACAACAAGCUCAGAGAGGGUGGAUUUGGCCCUAUUUAUAGGGAAAGUUAACAGAGGGUCAGGAAAUAGCUAUGAAGAGGUUAUCGAAGACGUCAACACAGGGCCCGGAUGAGUUCAAGAAUGAGGUGAUGGUGAUCGCCAAGUUGCAACACCAGAACCUCGUUCGCCUUCUUGGCUAUUGCGUUGAGGGGGAGAAAGAAUGUUGAUCUACGAGUGCAUGCUCAAUAGAAGCUUGGACACAUUCUUAUUUGGUUAGUUAAAUCUCUUGUGAUUCAUAAGACUCCAGUUAAAUCAAUAUGCAAGAUGUUUGACUAUCCCUUGUCUCAUUAUCGAUCGACCAAAUAAGGACAAAUGUUGAUUGUUGGAUUAGAGAAUGUGAUACAAUAUUAUACUUGGCAUUUCUCGAGGUCUCCUUUAUCUUCACCAUGAUUCUCGAUACAGAAUCAGACAUAGGGAUUUAAAAACUAGCAACAUAUUUCUCGAUAAGGAUAUUAAUCCUAAAAUAUCUGACUUUGACAUCGCAAAAUUAUUCAGUGGAGAUGAAACAAUAGGAAAUACCGAGGGAAUUGUAGGAACAUAGUAAGUUUUUUAAAUUACUCUUUCAGCGCCUCAAGAAGGAAAAUUUUAAAUUGAUUUUGUAAUUCAUUAAUCUUUUGAUGUAGUGGAUACAUGUCUCUAGAAUAUGCUAUGAAUGGAAUAUUUCCAGUGAAAUCUAAUGCAUUUAGUUUUGGAGUGUUAGUGAUUGAGGUUAUAACUAGUGAAAAGAAUAAUGGAGCUUAUCGAUGCACUCAUCAUCAAAAUCUUCUUGGAGAGGCACAAAAAAAAAUGAAGCACGUUAAGAAGACAUUGUAUAUAUAUCAGCAAGCGAUGACAAUGAUGGGACGAUGGUGAUGAUGGAUCUUCUUGCAUGAAUUUUAUUUAUCUUAUAAUUAGUAUUUUUGAACAUUAGUUAUUUGAUUGUAAAUGUUUCUUUUUUUUUGUUAAUACUAUUAAUUUUUUUUGAAACGGGAUUGAUAAGACGUAAUGAAAAUCAAUGUCGAAAUAAGUCAAAAUUAUGUUUUAUAUUCAUAUAUAAUAAUUUCUUUCUUGUAAUCAUUGAUAUUGUUUGUAUUUUAUUUUGAUGCGGAAAAAUAAGGAUAUUGGAAAAAGAUUUAGUGAUGUUUGGAAAUUUGUUAAUGUAUGGAUGGUUUAGAACUUAUAAUGUUUGGAUUGUAUGGAUAUUAGAUCUUUUGCGAUGUUUGCAUUUUGAUGUAUGAUAUGUUUGGAUUGUAAGGAUAUUAGAUGAUGUUUGCAUUUUGAUGGAUGAUAUGUUUGGAUUGUAUGGAUAUUUUGUGAUGUUUGAAUUUUAUGUAUAAAUUGUGAUUUUGUUUA